rnacentral:rRNA from 1 species
AGCGAACGCUGGCGGCAGGCCUAACACAUGCAAGUCGAACGAACCUUUCGGGGUUAGUGGCGGACGGGUGAGUAACACGUGGGAACGUGCCUUUAGGUUCGGAAUAACUCAGGUACACUUGUGCUAAUACCGAAUGUGCCCUUCGGGGGAAAGAUUAAUCGCCUUUAGAGCGGCCCGCGUCUGAUUAGCUAGUUGGUUGAGGUAAUGGCUCACCAAGGCGACGAUCAGUAGCUGGUCUGAGAGGAUGAUCAGCCACAUUGGGACUGAGACACGGCCCAAACUCCUACGGGAGGAAGCAGUGGGGAAUCUUGCGCAAUGGGCGAAAGCAUGACGCAGCCAUGCCGCGUGAAUGAUGAAGGUCUUAGGAUUGUAAAAUUCUUUCACCGGGGACGAUAAUGACGGUACCCGGAGAAGAAGCCCCGGCUAACUUCGUG